UUAAAUUUAAAUAUAUAAUUUAAUUAACUUUUAUCACUUAAACUUUUUGGUUAUAUGGGUGGGAUUUCAAAAGUUGCAAUCUUUAAUUGCUCUGUGCUCUUUAUUUUUAUUUCUUGUUAUUUUUGAAAAAUUUAUGAAGUGAUUUGGGUUUUUGAAGGUUAAUGAUGUACAAGUAAAAGAUAAAGUUGAAGGCUUUGAGAAGUAUCUUUUAGUAGUAAUUUGCAGGUUGAAAAGACUUGCGUUAGCACAGUUUAGCACCUGUACCUGUAAAAAGAUGGUGCUUUUUUGAAUACAGAACAAGGAUGUUACUUGAGGACUCAUUCUUACUCAACUUUCUAUCUUCUGUUUCAAUACUUUGCCUGCACUAGUGGUAUAAUAGCUUUAUAGCUGAAUGUUCGUCUGCCAAUGCUUGCUUAACAUUUUUUUUUUUAUUUUUUUUGUCUUUUUCAUUGUAUUGGAUUCUAAGUAUGUUGGUUUUUGAAAGCAAAUUUAUAGGGGAGGUAGUGAAUGCACUUGGAGCUAUAGCAUUGGGAGCACCCAUGAUUCAGAACUUCAACAGGACCUCUACUGGUCUCUUCUGAUGUCAGCACUUACUGUUAGGAUUUCAUAUGACGUCUCAUUUGCCAUGCUGCCUCUCAUGCUUCAGUGAACCCCUGGAUCAAAUGGGCUAGUGUGUCCCAGCGGCUUCUCUGUUUGGUUCUCCUUGGGCUUCCUGGCACUGGAUAUUUGCUCACACAAAGCCAAGUGGACCUGUAGAGUACAUGAUCUGUCUACCUGCUCAUGGAGCUGUCAUUGGAGCUUGGUUUGGCGCUUAACCAAUGCCACUUGGCUGGGAAAGACCAUGGCAGGUAGGCUUACCUUCCUAUCUAAUCCUGGUCAUUUGAGACUUAUAUGAGUUAUGCAUUCCUUUUAUCUACAUAAUUCAUCUGGAUAUUCUAUGUGAUUUUUUACCACUUUAAAGACAAAACUUGAUCUAGUACAGGCUUUUUUCCAAAGAACUUUAAAAUUGUCCAGUAAAAUUCAAGUAUUGGUUGCAGAGCGAAACUUGAAACAGUUAUUCGUUUCUGGAUACAUAUUGAAGUUUGUAACAUUUGAAACUGUAGCCGAAUGAAGUUGGCAAAAGGUGGCAGGUUUCAAUUCUCUUUUUUCUUUCUUACUGUGUACAUGAACAGUUGGUUUCGUCAAGAACUUAGUAGUAAGAGUGGCUCAGAAAUAACUGACAACUUCAAGAGUUACCUGAGGUCUACCAUCACAUGGCCAAAAAAUCUUUGAAAUGAUGUUCUCUUGUUACAUUCUCUAAAUUGACACAAAGUAUGGAACUUGAUAUGUUAAUGCAGCAGUAUGAUAUAGUCAGGGUUCUGAGUUAACAAUUCAACAAUUGAUGCUUAGCUUUCAUGCUUAGAUUGUUGUGUUGGCUCUGAUAUAUUUGUUCACUUUGCCUUUUCAUGUAAAGAUGCCAUAUUAACAUUGUCCUAGUACAAAUAUUACACCUUGCAUGUGAAAUUGUGCCUUGAAAAGCACCAGAGAGAUGAUGAGGGUUUACAUAGUAGUCCUGAUGUGGUUCUGAUAAUUCCGCGAUGUAGUGAUGUGUUGAUCUACUGUUCCAAGUAUAAUCUCCUAGGACAGGUUAGUUGCAAUGGUUUUGGUAAAUGUAGUUGACCAUGUAUGUUUGAGCUCGGCAAUUAGAUUCUGAAUGUUGGAUGUCAUUCAGCCUUGGUUUGCAGCUUGUUGUUCAGUUUGUUAUGCUUUGUACCCUGAUACUGAGAUGAUUUGAAGUUGUUUGUAAGACUGGCCAAUUUUUGUGAGCUAUGGAGCUUUCGCUGGGUACUUUGUUGGGAUGGUGGCAGCUUAGCUUUUGUUUGUGUCCUCUUCUGAAAUAAUCCAAGGCAUGUAAACUGAGAGACUAAUGAUGGAGAAUUCGACAUUAAUCUUAUUGAAGGUUGCUAUCGAUGACCAUAUUGAUAGACCGAGUUGCAUCCAGCUGACCAUAGGACCUCACCUGCUCAGUGGAAGUUUUGCAAUUUUUUCCCAGUAACAUUACAAAACUCACCCCUCCCAUGAACUUCCCUUACCCACUUUUCUUUUUGCCCAGGCAAUGCAAUUUGCAGAAGCUUAGAAGUACCUUUGGUUCUCACUGGAAGUUCUUUCUUUACCUUUUUUCCCUUUAACUCUAUUUCUUCAAUUAUGAUCUGCUGGUGUCUUUAAAUGGAAAAUCCUUGUCUGAUGCAUGCUUACUUUGUAAAUCAUUCUGUCCAGUUUGUGAGGAAGAAGGAUGUUGUUAGUGCUUAGAGAUUAGUAUACAUGGCACAUUCCUCAAUUAUUCGCUCUCUAGUGUAAAAGGCUUGAAUCACUAAAUCCUGGCUUUUGCUUAACAGUUACAGGUGAAGAUAUUUCACAGCCAUUGUUUAUGUUUUGUCUUUAAAUAAACUUUGGGCUGAUGGACCCUUUAUA